UGGGCGUUAAGUUGCAGGGUAUAGACCCGAAACCCGGUGAUCUAGCCAUGGGCAGGUUGAAGGGUGGGUAACACUAACUGGAGGACCGAACCGACUAAUGUUGAAAAAUUAGCGGAUGACCUGUGGCUGGGGGUGAAAGGCCAAUCAAACCGGGAGAUAGCUGGUUCUCCCCGAAAGCUAUUUAGGUAGCGCCUCGUGAAUUCAUCUCCGGGGGUAGAGCACUGUUUCGGCUAGGGGGCCAUCCCGGCUUACCAACCCGAUGCAAACUGCGAAUACCGGAGAAUGUUAUCACGGGAGACACACGGCGGGUGCUAACGUCCGUCGUGAAGAGGGAAACAACCCAGACCGCCAGCUAAGGUCCCAAAGUCAUGGUUAAGUGGGAAACGAUGUGGGAAGGCCCAGACAGCCAGGAUGUUGGCUUAGAAGCAGCCAUCAUUUAAAGAAAGCGUAAUAGCUCACUGGUCGAGUCGGCCUGCGCGGAAGAUGUAACGGGGCUAAACCAUGCACCGAAGCUGCGGCAGCGACACUGUGUGUUGUUGGGUAGGGGAGCGUUCUGUAAGCCUGUGAAGGUGUGUCGUGAGGCAUGCUGGAGGUAUCAGAAGUGCGAAUGCUGACAUAAGUAACGAUAAAGCGGGUGAAAAGCCCGCUCGCCGGAAGACCAAGGGUUCCUGUCCAACGUUAAUCGGGGCAGGGUGAGUCGACCCCUAAGGCGAGGCCGAAAGGCGUAGUCGAUGGGAAACGGGUUAAUAUUCCCGUACUUGGUGUUACUGCGAAGGGGGGACGGAGAAGGCUAUGUUGGCCGGGCGACGGUUGUCCCGGUUUAAGUGUGUAGGUGUGUGUUCCAGGUAAAUCCGGUUCACUUUAACACUGAGGCGUGACGACGAGGCACUACGGUGCUGAAGCAACAAAUGCCCUGCUUCCAGGAAAAGCCUCUAAGCAUCAGGUAACAUCAAAUCGUACCCCAAACCGACACAGGUGGUCAGGUAGAGAAUACCAAGGCGCUUGAGAGAACUCGGGUGAAGGAACUAGGCAAAAUGGUGCCGUAACUUCGGGAGAAGGCACGCUGACACGUAGGUGAAGUGAUUUACUCAUGGAGCUGAAGUCAGUCGAAGAUACCAGCUGGCUGCAACUGUUUAUUAAAAACACAGCACUGUGCAAACACGAAAGUGGACGUAUACGGUGUGACGCCUGCCCGGUGCCGGAAGGUUAAUUGAUGGGGUCAGCGCAAGCGAAGCUCCUGAUCGAAGCCCCGGUAAACGGCGGCCGUAACUAUAACGGUCCUAAGGUAGCGAAAUUCCUUGUCGGGUAAGUUCCGACCUGCACGAAUGGCGUAAUGAUGGCCAGGCUGUCUCCACCCGAGACUCAGUGAAAUUGAACUCGCUGUGAAGAUGCAGUGUACCCGCGGCAAGACGGAAAGACCCCGUGAACCUUUACUAUAGCUUGACACUGAACAUUGAGCCUUGAUGUGUAGGAUAGGUGGGAGGCUUUGAAGUGUGGACGCCAGUCUGCAUGGAGCCGACCUUGAAAUACCACCCUUUAAUGUUUGAUGUUCUAACGUGGACCCGUUACCCGGGUUGCGGACAGUGUCUGGUGGGUAGUUUGACUGGGGCGGUCUCCUCCUAAAGAGUAACGGAGGAGCACGAAGGUUGGCUAAUCCUGGUCGGACAUCAGGAGGUUAGUGCAAUGGCAUAAGCCAGCUUGACUGCGAGCGUGACGGCGCGAGCAGGUGCGAAAGCAGGUCAUAGUGAUCCGGUGGUUCUGAAUGGAAGGGCCAUCGCUCAACGGAUAAAAGGUACUCCGGGGAUAACAGGCUGAUACCGCCCAAGAGUUCAUAUCGACGGCGGUGUUUGGCACCUCGAUGUCGGCUCAUCACAUCCUGGGGCUGAAGUAGGUCCCAAGGGUAUGGCUGUUCGCCAUUUAAAGUGGUACGCGAGCUGGGUUUAGAACGUCGUGAGACAGUUCGGUCCCUAUCUGCCGUGGGCGCUGGAGAACUGAGGGGGGCUGCUCCUAGUACGAGAGGACCGGAGUGGACGCAUCACUGGUGUUCGGGUUGUCAUGCCAAUGGCACUGCCCGGUAGCUAAAUGCGGAAGAGAUAAGUGCUGAAAGCAUCUAAGCACGAAACUUGCCCCGA
rnacentral:rRNA from 1 species